rnacentral:sRNA from 2 species
GCAAUGACAAGGAUGCAACUCACACCUGGUGUGCGCGGUUUCCCUACCAACUUUUGUCUCUUGCUUCGAUCUCCUUACCCUACACUCCGGGCUUAAGCAGUCCCCAUCACAGGCAACUUCCCUUUUCUUCUGGACAAAGCACUAUAUAAUAGCUAUCGCCACAAUCAAAUGCCUCUUCUAUCGAUCGCAGCAGCGUGGUUACGGAGAGCGAACCGGCAAAUCGACAGCCAAAUCCCCUUAUCUUUUCCAUCGGAUGUUUGAUUCCUGCAUGGCGAAUGGGACAGGUUAUCCUUAAGUGUGCUGCAUCCAAACCAACCCUUCCCCGCCCGACCAUUUAUCACAGGAUGCAUAUGCUAAAUUAAGAGAGCAUAGCUCAUUUUCUCUCUGACCAUACGGCAGGCAUACUGUUGAAUCUGUCCUCCUAAAAUUCCCGGUGAGACCCCGCCAUAUGGUAUACCAUCUUCUCCUUCUCCUGUUGAGCUCGGAAUAUUCCGAAGAAGUUUAGUCAUGCAAUAUUGUGCUUUAGGAUUUACGGAUAAAUGACCAACGAACGGUGUUGGCCUUUUUUCCUUUUAGGUUCCAAAUCAUAAAGCACAACCCUCGCAUGCUAAGGCAAGAUUGGAUGACGGGUACAGCAAAGAAAGCGUAUAUCUUGCACAUAUGACAUAGUUGACAGACGUCAAAAAGCUAUUGCUUGUACAUCUGUACCUGUGGCGGCUCGAUCAAGCUUUAGAAUAGUUGAUAGAAGUAGUUGUUUGUGAAAAAAAUGAUUCCUGGAAAGUUAACAUAACGACAUAUCUGUAAGUUCAUGAACAAAGCAUCUAGGCAGGCAGGCAUAUAUAUAUGGAUGGGCCGGAGGAUCGAAAAUGAAAUUUAAAAGAAAAGUGCAGGCAAAAGAAUGGAAGAGAAAGCAAGAGCGUAAGAAAAUGCCAUUGAGUAAAUAAGGCCAGAAAUAUUUCGGGCUAUUCGGCGCACCUCUAUCACAUUGCACCCCAGGCCUCACCGAAUAACCUUGAUGCUAGAAUUUUUUGUUGAAUAAUGGGUUUCUUUCAAGAUAGGUUAUGCCAUGGAACCACGGAUGGCAUUCAUCUCGCC